rnacentral:rRNA from 1 species
GUGGGGAAUAUUGGACAAUGGGCGAAAGCCUGAUCCAGCAAUGCCGCGUGAGUGAAGAAGGCCUUCGGGUUGUAAAGCUCUUUUACCCGGGAAGAUAAUGACUGUACCGGGAGAAUAAGCCACGGCUAACUCCGUGCCAGCAGCCGCGGUAAUACGGAGGGGGCUAGCGUUGUUCGGACUUACUGUGCGUAAAGCGCACGUAGGCGGUCUUUUAAGUCAGAGGUGAAAGCCCGGGGCUCAACUCCGGAAUUGCCUUUGAAACUGGAAGGCUUGAACAAGGUAGAGGUGAGUGGAAAUCCGGGUGUAGAGGUGAAAUUCGUAGAUAUUCGGAGGAACACCAGUGGCGAAGGCGGCUCACUGGACCGUUGUUGACGCUGAGGUGCGAAAGCGUGGGGAGCGAACAGGAUUAGAAACCCCAGUAGUCC